rnacentral:rRNA from 1 species
GAUGAACGCUGGCGGCGUGCUUAACACAUGCAAGUCGAACGGAAAGGCCCUGCUUUUGUGGGGUGCUCGAGUGGCGAACGCGUGAGUAACACGUGAGUAACCUGACCUUGACUUUGGGAUAACUUAAGGAAACUGGGGCUAAUACCGGAUAGGAGCUCCUGCUGCAUGGAGGGGGUUGGAAAGUUUCGGCUGUUGGGGAUGGACUCGCGGCUUAUCAGUUUGUUGGUGGGGUAGUGGCUUACCAAGGCUUUGACGGGUAGCCGGCCUGAGAGGGUGACCGGCCCCAGUGGGACUGAGAUACGGCCCAGACUCCAACGGGGGGCAGCAGUGGGAAAUAUUGCACAAUGGGCGGAAGCCUGAUGCAGCAACGCCGCGUGCGGGAUGACGGCCUUCGGGUUGUAAACCGCUUUCGCCUGUGACGAAGCGUGAGUGACGGUAAUGGGUAAAGAAGCACCGGCUAACUACGUG